rnacentral:rRNA from 1 species
UGAGGAAUAUUGCGCAAUGGGCGAAAGCCUGACGCAGCGACGCCGCGUGGAGGAUGAAGGCCUUAGGGUCGUAAACUUCUGUUAAGUGGGAAGAAAGACGAAGUUCUAAUACAGCUUCGUUAUGACGGUACUACUAAAGAAAGCACCGGCUAAACUCGUGCCAGCAGCCGCGGUAAUACGAGUGGUGCGAGCGUUAUUCGGAUUUAUUGGGCGUACAGGGUGCGCAGGCGGUAUGUUAAGUCAAUUGUCAAAGACCUCGGCCUAACUGAGGAUCGGCGGUAGAUACUGGCAUGCUAGAGGGUGGAAGAGAGAAGUGGAAUUCUUGGAGUAGCGGUAAAAUGCGUAGAUCUCAAGAGGAACACCGAUGGCGAAGGCAGCUUCUUGGUCCACAUCUGACGCCCAUGCACGAAAGCGUGGGGAGCAAACAGG